CGCAAUCUCCCUCCUCACGUCCAAUCCCUUCAGCACAGGUGAUUAAGUUUGAACUUCUGCAGAAAUGUCCUGUCAGCAAAGCCAGCAGCAGUGCCAGGCCCCUAAGUGCCCCCCUAAGUGUCCUCCCAAGUGUCAGACCCCUAAAUGUCCUCCAAAGUGCCCACCCAAGUGCCCUCCUAAAUGCCCUCCCAAGUGCCCUCCCCAGGCUCCCUGCCCUCCUCCAGUCUCUUCCUGCUGUGGCUCUAGCUCUGGAGGAUGCUGCAGCUCUGGGGGAUGCUGUGGGUCCAGCUCUGGGGGGUGCUGCAGCUCUGGCUCCGGGGGCGGCUGCUGCCUCUUUUCCCAUCACAGGAGAUCCCACAGACGCAGGCACCAGAGGUCUGACUGCUGUGACAGUGGCAGUGGGCGCAGCCAGCAGUCUGGGGGCUGCUGCUGAUCACCUGGUUCCCUUCACCAAGAGAAGCAGCCUUAUAAUAGAAUCAGUGGCUGAUCUCCUGCCUCGCCCUCCCUUUUCUUCACGCCAAGAUGUUCCAUGCAGCAUUUGAUCUGCAGAAACCCUUAAAUGCCCUGUGCCUUGCAUCUACCUAACUUCAAUUCCACUUUUCUGCUUUGUUCAUUGACUUACAACAUUAAAUCAUUUAUUUAUGGCUCUA